rnacentral:rRNA from 1 species
GGAAUAUUGGACAAUGGGGGAAACCCUGAUCCAGCCAUGCCGCGUGUGUGAAGAAGGCCUUUUGGUUGUAAAGCACUUUAAGCAGUGAAGAAGACUCUUCGGUUAAUACCCGGAGACGAUGACAUUAGCUGCAGAAUAAGCACCGGCUAACUCUGUGCCAGCAGCCGCGGUAAUACAGAGGGUGCAAGCGUUAAUCGGAAUUACUGGGCGUAAAGGGAGCGUAGGUGGCUCGAUAAGUCAGAUGUGAAAUCCCCGGGCUCAACCUGGGAACUGCAUCUGAUACUGUUGAGCUAGAGUAUGUGAGAGGAAGGUAGAAUUCCAGGUGUAGCGGUGAAAUGCGUAGAGAUCUGGAGGAAUACCGAUGGCGAAGGCAGCCUUCUGGCAUAAUACUGACACUGAGGCUCGAAAGCGUGGGUAGCAAACAGGAUUAGAUACCCGGG